rnacentral:rRNA from 1 species
UAGGGAAUCUUCGGCAAUGGGGGGAACCCUGACCGAGCAACGCCGCGUGAGUGAAGAAGGUUUUCGGAUCGUAAAGCUCUGUUGUUAAGGAAGAACGAGUGUGAGAAUGGAAAGUUCAUGCUGUGACGGUACUUAACCAGAAAGGGACGGCUAACUACGUGCCAGCAGCCGCGGUAAUACGUAGGUCCCGAGCGUUGUCCGGAUUUAUUGGGCGUAAAGCGAGCGCAGGCGGUUAGAAAAGACUGAAGUGAAAGGCAGUGGCUCAACCAUAGUAGGAUUUGAAAACUGUUUAACUUGAGUGCAGAAGGGGAGGGGGGAAUUCCAAGGGGAGCGGUAAAAUGCGAAGAUAUAUGGAGGAACACAGGUGGCGAAAGCGGCUCUCUGGUCUGUAACUGACGCUGAGGCUCGAAAGCGUGGGGAGCGAACAGG